rnacentral:snRNA from 2 species
AUACCUUUCUCGGCCUUUUGGCUAAGAUCAAGUGUAGUAUCUGUUCUUAUCAGUUUAAUAUCUGAUAUGUGGACCAUGUGUUCACUUUGAUGUUAAAUUAAUUUUUUGUGGGGGGAGGAACCACCGCAAUGGCUUGCCAUUGGGUCUCUCAAGCGUUGCCUAGCCGUUGCACUGCUGGUUAGGCUUGGCGCACCCCAG